rnacentral:lncRNA from 1 species
UCUGAUCAAAAUGCUCUAAGUUGAUGCCAUUGCUUCACACCUGAGCUCUUUGAUCUAGAUUAGCAUUCGGGGACCCUCCGUGCCAUUUGAUAUCCCGUGAUCUUUAGCAUUAUCUGGUUAUUAUACAAGAACUACAAAGCAAUCUCAGGUGAGUACAUUGAACCCCUCUUUUACUGUUUUCCAAACUGUUUUGGGGUGAAACACAUGUGCCAAUCUGUUACAUUCAUGCUUUCCAUGUUUUCACAUCAUAUGCCUGCUAUGUUGUUAGUACAUUAUAGUACACGAUUUCAUUACAUUUCAAGCUAUGUAUGCCCAUUGUCAUAUGGACACAUUGA